CCUACGGGUGGCACCAGUGGGGAAUAUUGGACAAUGGGCGAAAGCCUGAUCCAGCCAUGCCGCGUGUGUGAAGAAGGCCUUUUGGUUGUAAAGCACUUUAAGCGAGGAGGAGGCUACUUGGAUUAAUACUCUAGGAUAGUGGACGUUACCCGCAGAAUAAGCACCGGCUAACUCUGUGCCAGCAGCCGCGGUAAUACAGAGGGUGCGAGCGUUAAUCGGAUUUACUGGGCGUAAAGCGUGCGUAGGCGGCUUUUUAAGUCGGAUGUGGAAUCCCUGAGCUUAACUUAGGAAUCGCAUUCGAUACUGGGAAGCUAGAGUAUGGGAGAGGAUGGUAGAAUUCCAGGUGUAGCGGUGAAAUGCGUAGAGAUCUGGAGGAAUACCGAUGGCGAAGGCAGCCAUCUGGCCUAAUACUGACGCUGAGGUACGAAAGCAUGGGGAGCAAACAGGAUUAGAUACCCCAGUAGUC
rnacentral:rRNA from 1 species